rnacentral:rRNA from 1 species
GAUGAACGCUGGCGGCGUGCCUAAUACAUGCAAGUCGAGCGAACAGACGAGGAGCUUGCUCCUCUGACGUUAGCGGCGGACGGGUGAGUAACACGUGGAUAACCUACCUAUAAGACUGGGAUAACUUCGGGAAACCGGAGCUAAUACCGGAUAAUAUAUUGAACCGCAUGGUUCAAUAGUGAAAGACGGUUUUGCUGUCACUUAUAGAUGGAUCCGCGCCGCAUUAGCUAGUUGGUAAGGUAACGGCUUACCAAGGCAACGCUGCGUAGCCGACCAGGGAGGGGAAUCGGCACCACUGGAACUGGGAAACGGUCCAGACCCCUAGGGGAGGCAGCAGUAGGGAAUCUUCAGAAAUGGGCGAAAGCUUGACGGAGCAACGCCGCGUGAGUGAUGAAGGUCUUCGGAUCGUAAAACUCUGUUAUUAGGGAAGAACAAAUGUGUAAGUAACUAUGCACGUCUUGACUGUACCUAAUCAGAAAGCCACGGCUAACUACGU